rnacentral:rRNA from 1 species
AUGAACGCUGGCGUCGUGCCUAAUACAUGCAAGUCGAGCGAACGGACGAGAAGCUUGCUUCUCUGAUGUUAGCGGCGGACGGGUGAGUAACACGUGGAUAACCUACCUAUAAGACUGGGAUAACUUCGGGAAACCGUAGCUAAUACCGGAUAAUAUUUUGAACCGCAUGGUUCAAAAGUGAAAGACGGUCUUGCUGUCACUUAUAGAUGGAUCCGCGCUGCAUUAGCUAGUUGGUAAGGUAACGGCUUACCAAGGCAACGAUGCAUAGCCGACCUGAGAGGGUGAUCGGCCACACUGGAACUGAGACACGGUCCAGACUCCUACGGGAGGCAGCAGUAGGGAAUCUUCCGCAAUGGGCGAAAGCCUGACGGAGCAACGCCGCGUGAGUGAUGAAGGUCUUCGGAUCGUAAAACUCUGUUAUUAGGGAAGAACAUAUGUGUAAGUAACUGUGCACAUCUUGACGGUACCUAAUCAGAAAGCCACGGCUAACUACGUG